UACAGGGGGUGCAAACGUUGCUCGGAAUUAUUGGGCGUAAAGCGCGCGUAGGCGGCUACCUAAGUCGGAUGUGAAAGCCCCUGGCUCAACUGGGGAAGUGCACCCGAAACUGAGUAGCUGGAGUACGAAAGAGGGUCGCGGAAUUCCCGGUGUAGAGGUGAAAUUCGUAGAUAUCUGGAAGAACACCAAUGGCGAAGGCACCAUCCUGGGAAGCAUCUGACGCUCAGGUGCGAAAGCUAGGGGAGCGAACGGG
rnacentral:rRNA from 1 species